rnacentral:rRNA from 1 species
CCCGCUGAACUUAAGCAUAUCAAUAAGCGGAGGAAAAGAAACUAACAAGGAUUCCCCUAGUAACUGCGAGUGAAGCGGGAAAAGCUCAAGUUUAAAAUCUGGCGGUCUUGCGGCCGUCCGAGUUGUAAUCUGGAGAAGCGUUUAUCCGCGUCGGACCGUGUACAAGUCUUCUGGAAGGGAGCGUCGUAGAGGGUGAGAAUCCCGUCUUUGACACGG